UGAGACUUGAAAAGCAGAAAAACAAUCAAUUUUAGUUUUUGGUAAUUUUAUAAAGCAUGAACUAUGAACGUGUAGUAUAAUAUCAACAAAAAACAACAAACAAGUUCAAUCAAACAACAACAAACAAUUUCAACGAAAUAACAACAACAACAAACAAGUUCAACAAAUUAGUUCUUCAAAGGAAAACGAAAAUGAAAACUAACCUUCAAUGGGUUCGUCAGAAUAAAGUAUUUCCCCCAGUGAGAGAGAAAACAAAAUGUGUCUAUGAAGGACAAGAACACGAAAAUAAUUGGUCAAAACAAACGAAAAUCAUACAUAAAGUAGUUACUUAACAUGCAUUUGUAUCAAAUGAAAGAAAGAUUACAUGUGAUGGUCGUCAUACUUCAAGAAAAGUUUGAGAAUAGAAUAAGGUUUCGCGUGCUAAGAUAAAGUGAAUGAAUUUUCAAUCUCCCGCUCAAAUUAAAAAGGGAAACUUUUGGUUGACAAAUAAUACGUUGAAGCCCCUACAGAUUAGAUGUAUUAUUGGUGGUUUAAAAGAAAAAAAAUUAAAAAGGGGUAACUCUUUGGCUUCUGACUGAAAAAUGAUACGUCGAAGCCCUACAGAAUUCAACGUAUAAUAUAUGGUUAAAAAGAAAAAGAAAAAAAAAUUAAAAAGAGGUUACAUUUUGGCUUCUGGCUGACAAAUAAUACGUCGAAGCCCCUACAAAACUUGACGUACUAUUGGUGGUUUAAAAGAAAGAAGAAAGAGAAUGAAGCGUUGAUUUAAAUAAUUACCAUAAUAGAACGUUGAAUUCCAUACAAUUCGACGUUCUACAAUUGCAUUUAUUUACAAAAAUGUCACAAGUAAUUUUUAAAAUUGGUUAUU
rnacentral:lncRNA from 1 species